rnacentral:rRNA from 1 species
GAUGAACGCUGGCGGCGUGCCUAAUACAUGCAAGUCGAGCGAACAGACGAGGAGCUUGCUCCUCUGACGUUAGCGGCGGACGGGUGAGUAACACGUGGAUAACCUACCUAUAAGACUGGGAUAACUUCGGGAAACCGGAGCUAAUACCGGAUAAUAUAUUGAACCGCAUGGUUCAAUAGUGAAAGACGGUUUUGCUGUCACUUAUAGAUGGAUCCGCGCCGCAUUAGCUAGUUGGUAAGGUAACGGCUUACCAAGGCGACGAUGCGUAGCCGACCUGAGCGGGUGAUCGGCCACACGGGAACUGGGACACGGUCCAGACUCCUGAGGGAGGCAGCAGUAGGGAAUUUUCCGCAAUGGGCGAAAGCCUGACGGAGCAACGCCGCGUGAGUGAUGAAGGUCUUCGGAUCGUAAAACUCUGUUAUGAGGGAAGAACAAAUGUGUAAGUAACUAUGCACGUCUUGACGGUACCUAAUCAGAAAGCCACGGCUAACUACGUG